rnacentral:rRNA from 1 species
GUGGGGAAUAUUGGACAAUGGGCGAAAGCCUGAUCCAGCCAUGCCGCGUGUGUGAAGAAGGUCUUCGGAUUGUAAAGCACUUUAAGUUGGGAGGAAGGGCAGUAAGUUAAUACCUUGCUGUUUUGACGUUACCGACAGAAUAAGCACCGGCUAACUUCGUGCCAGCAGCCGCGGUAAUACGAAGGGUGCAAGCGUUAAUCGGAAUUACUGGGCGUAAAGCGCGCGUAGGUGGUUUUGUAAGUUGGAAGUGAAAUCCCCGGGCUCAACCUGGGAACUGCUUUCAAAACUGCUGAGCUAGAGUACGGUAGAGGGUGGUGGAAUUUCCUGUGUAGCGGUGAAAUGCGUAGAUAUAGGAAGGAACACCAGUGGCGAAGGCGACUACCUGGACUGAUACUGACACUGAGGUGCGAAAGCGUGGGGAGCAAACAGGAUUAGAAACCCGUGUAGUCC